rnacentral:misc_RNA from 1 species
GAUGAAGAACGCAGCGAAAUGUGAUACGUAAUGUGAAUUGCAAAUUCAGUGAAUCAUCGAGUCUUUGAACGCACAUUGCGCCCCCUGGUAUUCCGGGGGGCAUGCCUGUCCGAGCGUCAUUGCUGCCCUCAAGCACGGCUUGUGUGUUGGGCCCCGUCCUCCGAUCCCGGGGGACGGGCCCGAAAGGCAGCGGCGGCACCGCGUCCGGUCCUCGAGCGUAUGGGGCUUUGUCACCCGCUCUGUAGGCCCGGCCGGCGCUUGCCGAUCAACCCAAAUUUUUAUCCAGGUUGACCUCGGAUCAGGAAGGGAUACCCGCUGAACUUAAGCAUAUCAAUAAGCGGAGGA